GUUUACUUAGUAAUUUAAUAUGUUUAUUGUUUAUAUUUUUAGCAUUACAAAACGUUAAUGAUUAUAAUCUAGGAUCACAAAAACCGUUAAAUUAAACAUUGAUCACACAAUACGUAUAUUUAUUUAUACAUUUUGAGGUGGCAGGUCGUCUUGGUGGCGUUGGAAUUAAGAUAAAUGACAGGAAUGAUAAUAUCGUUUUUCGCACCACCCGUACACGAUAAAAACUUCGCGUUGAAGACGCAUCAGUGUGUCAAUGUCGAUGAAAUUGGGCGAUAGGUGAUUAUCACGUGAUUGCAAUAAAUUAUAUCCCUUUUCUCUCAAACUUACGAAUACGAAUUCUAAAAUUGAAGAUACAAAUAAUAAUAUUAAAAUAAAGACACGAAUAAUACGAAUAAAAUCAUACAAGAGAUAUCCGUCAGCUCUCAGAAGAAUAAUGAUAUAGAAACUCUAAAGUAGGUCAUAGGAAUACUGCAGAAGUACGUCAUAGAAACAUCGUACUAUGGAAAAACAAAAAUCUGAGUAUAUUUGUAGAAAUUCUUGGUUAGAUUAUCAAAUUGUUUAUUGAUA